rnacentral:rRNA from 1 species
CAUGCAAGUCGAGCGGAAACGACACUAACAAUCCUUCGGGUGCGUUAAUGGGCGUCGAGCGGCGGACGGGUGAGUAAUGCCUAGGAAAUUGCCUUGAUGUGGGGGAUAACCAUUGGAAACGAUGGCUAAUACCGCAUAAUGCCUACGGGCCAAAGAGGGGGAUCUUCGGACCUCUCGCGUCAAGAUAUGCCUAGGUGGGAUUAGCUAGUUGGUGAGGUAAUGGCUCACCAAGGCGACGAUCCCUAGCUGGUCUGAGAGGAUGAUCAGCCACACUGGAACUGAGACACGGUCCAGACUCCUACGGGAGGCAGCAGUGGGGAAUAUUGCACAAUGGGCGAAAGCCUGAUGCAGCCAUGCCGCGUGUAUGAAGAAGGCCUUCGGGUUGUAAAGUACUUUCAGUUGUGAGGAAGGGGGUAACGUUAAUAGCGUUAUCUCUUGACGUUAGCAACAGAAGAAGCACCGGCUAACUCCGUGCCAGCAGCCGCGGUAAUACGGAGGGUGCGAGCGUUAAUCGGAAUUACUGGGCGUAAAGCGCAUGCAGGUGGUUCAUUAAGUCAGAUGUGAAAGCCCGGGGCUCAACCUCGGAACUGCAUUUGAAACUGGUGAACUAGAGUGCUGUAGAGGGGGGUAGAAUUUCAGGUGUAGCGGUGAAAUGCGUAGAGAUCUG